CUCACUUGAGGUUCCUUCAGUUCACAAUUUGCAAAAUGUUUCAUGGACAAUGUCUCAGGCAGGAUGGACACACUUGAUCCUGUAUCAUCAAUCAAUUCAACCGGUAUUUUAUUUCCAUGUGGUGCUUCCAAUUCUACUUGGCAGCAAAUUUUGUCAGGAGACUGAUUUACAGGCAGCACAUGAUGACAUGUGGCAGACGCAGCAGGACAAGUGUGUGCAUUAGCCAAACAGUGAAGGAAGCUGCUGAGAUGUGCAAGGAACUAAACAUCCCUUUCCCUGAGGUCAACAUUCCCAGUGAAGAUGUAAAGAAACCGAAGGACUUCUAUGUGUUCAAAGGCCAAAGGCAACUUGUGGAG